rnacentral:rRNA from 1 species
UACGGGGGGGGCAAGCGUUGUUCGGAAUUACUGGGCGUAAAGGGCUCGUAGGUGGCCAACUAAGUCAGACGUGAAAUCCCUCAGCUUAACUGGGGAACUGCGUCUGAUACUGGAUGGCUUGAGUCCGGGAGAGGGGGGUGGAAUUCCCAGUGUAGCGGUGAAAUGCGUAGAUAUUGGGAGGAACACCGGUGGCGAAGGCGGCCCCCUGGACCGGUACUGACGCUGAGGCGCGAAAGCGUGGGUAGCAAACGGG